rnacentral:rRNA from 1 species
UUUUAUUUCGGUAAGAUGUCAAGUGGCGAACGGGUGAGUAACACGUGGGCAACCUGCCCUUCAGACGGGGACAACAUUCCGAAAGGAGUGCUAAUACCGGAUACGCCCGCACCUACGCAUGUAGGUGCGGGGAAAGGAUGGCCUCUAUUUAUAAGCUAUCGCUGAAGGAUGGGCCUGCGUCCGAUUAGUUAGUUGGUGAGGUAACGGCCCACCAAGACGAUGAUCGGUAGCCGGUCUGAGAGGAUGAACGGCCACAUUGGGACUGAGACACGGCCCAGACUCCUACGGGAGGCAGCAGUGGGGAAUCUUCCACAAUGGACGAAAGUCUGAUGGAGCAACGCCGCGUGAGCGAUGAAGGAUUUCGGUCUGUAAAACUCUGUUGUUCAUGACGAACGUUUCCUGGGUUAAUAAUCCAGGGGAGUGACGGUAGUGAACGAGGAAGCCACGGCUAACUACGUGCCAGCAGCCGCGGUAAUACGUAGGUGGCGAGCGUUGUCCGGAAUUAUUGGGCGUAAAGAGCAUGUAGGCGGCUUUUUAAGUCGGUCGUGAAAAUGCGGGGCUUAACCCCGUAUUG